GACGAACCGUCCAAACGUUAUUCGGAAUCACUGGGCUUACAGAGUUCGUAGGCGGUCUGGAAAGUUGGGUGUGAAAUCCCUCGGCUCAACCGAGGAACUGCGCUCGAUACUGCCAGACUCGGGGGAGAUAGGGGAAAGCGGAACAGAUGGUGGAGCGGUGAAAUGCGUUGAUAUCAUCUGGAACACCGGUGGCGAAGGCGGCUUUCUGGGUCUCUCCUGACGCUGAGGAACGAAAGCUAGGGUAGCGAACGGG
rnacentral:rRNA from 1 species